CUAAAAAGGCAAGUGAACCUUUGCCUAGUCUUACACUUUUAAAAUUUAUUUUGAUUAACAGUGUAGGGCAAAACCUUCAAAUUGCGGGGAGUUCUUAAAGACAAAUCUACCAAGUUAAUGCAGUAAUGCGAUUAAUGGCACAGGUAAUGACUCGUGGUAUGGUAAAAACGAUUUGUAUGAAGAAAUGAAAUAGAUAAUCCGCAGCCAAGCACCGUUGCGCGGUACGCGUGGCGGUGUGCAGUUCAUCGACUAAACGGAGGUUGGUGAAUAAUUUACUUUUUUCAAGGUUUUAUUAGACUUGUUAAUAGCAAUUAUACUGCGCGUUGUAUAAGAGGACUGAAAGUUUUUAGUAAAGCUCAAUUGUCGUCCUAUAAAUAUAAAAAAAAAAUAAAAAUCCCUUGAUUAAUAAAUUAUUUGCUUAAGAUAUAGUCAGGCAUAACUUAAAGGUUAUG
rnacentral:ncRNA from 1 species